rnacentral:rRNA from 1 species
AGUGAACGCUGGCGGUAGGCCUAACACAUGCAAGUCGAACGGCAGCACAGUAAGAGCUUGCUCUUACGGGUGGCGAGUGGCGGACGGGUGAGGAAUACAUCGGAAUCUACUUUUUCGUGGGGGAUAACGUAGGGAAACUUACGCUAAUACCGCAUACGACCUACGGGUGAAAGCAGGGGAUCUUCGGACCUUGCGCGAUUGAAUGAGCCGAUGUCGGAUUAGCUAGUUGACGGGGUAAAGGCCCACCAAAGCGACGAUCCGUAGCUGGUCUGAGAGGAUGAUCAGCCACACUGGAACUGAGACACGGUCCAGACUCCUACGGGAGGCAGCAGUGGGGAAUAUUGGACAAUGGGCGCAAGCCUGAUCCAGCCAUACCGCGUGGGUGAAGAAGGCCUUCGGGUUGUAAAGCCCUUUUGUUGGGAAAGAAAAGCAGCAGGUUAAUACCCCGCUGUUCUGACGGUACCCAAAGAAUAAGCACCGGCUAACUUCGUG